UGUUGUUGUGACCAAGGUAUUGGAAAUGUGUGAAGGUGAAGGGCAGGGGAAAGUCAUCUUGACCAGGAAGAGAAGGAAAUUUUCAUGAUACCAGUGAUUAAUGCCAAAGCCUCAUUGCCUGUGGAGAAGGUGAUGUUUGACUUCCUUGUACAGCUGCAAUUCGUGUGGUGAAGGUGCUCCUGCAAUGUGGUUGGGUGCUAGAUGGUGAAGAUUUGCAGACUGAAAUCUCAAAAUCAUGUGCAGAGUGUGAUUAAGUUAACCAGCAUUUGAAGAACCAAAGAUGAAGAAUCACUCGGCCAAAAUCCUACAACACACUCCCUCACAGCAUUGUCGAUCUGUCUGCGCCAAAUGGACUGUGAAUGGUUCAAGACAGCAGCUCAGUACCAUCUUCUCAAGGGUAACUAGAGAUGGGGAAUAAAUCCUGGUUGAGUCAGUGAUGCCCAUAUCCUGGAAAUGGUUUCUAUCUCCACUUGCUGAAACCUGGUUGAUGUUACUUCAGGAUGCUGAGUGUAUCCUCCAGGAGGCAGAACCAUCACAUUACCCCUGCCUACACCCACACAGUAACACCGCAACAUCACUGGAACAAAAGGCAGUAAAGCCAAAGGAGGACUUACGUAGUUCUUUGAGGUAAAGUCAUCCAAGGGGAUUGGAGCACAGCAGGACCAGGAGACUGAGCUGGAUGGUCAGCUGUUUCCCAUUGAAUGGUGGAGCAGGUUGAAAGGCCGUAUGGCCUCCUCCUGCCCCUAUCUCCCAGGAAUGUAUAUAGCCAUGGAGCCCGGGUAGGAAGAAGUGGGCAGGGCAAGGAUUCUCCAGGAGAUUGCACUUCCACAUCAGUUUUCAGUGAGUGGAUUUUAUUUAACUUCUGUCUUUA